UAUACGACCGUACCGCAAACCGACACUGGUGCGCGAGAUGAGUAUUCUAAGGCGCUUGAGAGAACUCAGGAGAAGGAACUCGGCAAAUUGACACCGUAACUUCGGAAGAAGGUGUGCCCUAUUAGUGUGUAGUGAACAACGAAGCAUGAAUGGGUUGCAAAAAAUCGGUGGCUGCGACUGUUUAUUAAAAACACAGCACUCUGCAAACACGAAAGUGGACGUAUAGGGUGUGACGCCUGCCCGGUGCUGGAAGAUUAAAUGAUGGGGUGCAAGCUCUUGAUUGAAGUCCCAGUAAACGGCGGCCGUAACUAUAACGGUCCUAAGGUAGCGAAAUUCCUUGUCGGGUAAGUUCCGACCUGCACGAAUGGCGUAACGAUGGCCACACUGUCUCCUCCUGAGACUCAGCGAAGUUGAAAUGUUUGUGAUGAUGCAAUCUCCCCGCGGAAAGACGGAAAGACCCCAUGAACCUUUACUGUAGCUUUGUAUUGGACUUUGAACAGAUCUGUGUAGGAUAGGUGGGAGGCUUUGAAGCAGGGUCGCUAGAUCUUGUGGAGCCAACGUUGAAAUACCACCCUGGUGUGUUUGAGGUUCUAACCUAGGUCCAUUAUCUGGAUCGGGGACAGUGCAUGGUAGGCAGUUUGACUGGGGCGGUCUCCUCCCAAAGCGUAACGGAGGAGUUCGAAGGUACGCUAGUUACGGUCGGACAUCGUGACGAUAGUGCAAUGGCAUAAGCGUGCUUAACUGCGAGACUGACAAGUCGAGCAGAUGCGAAAGCAGGACAUAGUGAUCCGGUGGUUCUGUAUGGAAGGGCCAUCGCUCAACGGAUAAAAGGUACUCUGGGGAUAACAGGCUGAUACCGCCCAAGAGUUCAUAUCGACGGCGGUGUUUGGCACCUCGAUGUCGGCUCAUCUCAUCCUGGGGCUGUAGCCGGUCCCAAGGGUAUGGCUGUUCGCCAUUUAAAGAGGUACGUGAGCUGGGUUUAAAACGUCGUGAGACAGUUUGGUCCCUAUCUUCCGUGGGCGCUGCAGAUUUGAGGAAGCCUGCUCCUAGUACGAGAGGACCGGAGUGGACACACCUCUGGUGUAUCGGUUGUCACGCCAGUGGCAUUGCCGAGUAGCUAAGUGUGGAAGAGAUAACCGCUGAAAGCAUCUAAGCGGGAAACUCGUUUCAAGAUGAGAUCUGCCGGGGCCUUGAGCCCCCUAAAGAGUCGUUCAAGACCAGGACGUUGAUAGGUCAGGUGUGGAAGCUA
rnacentral:rRNA from 1 species